rnacentral:rRNA from 1 species
UGGGGAAUAUUGCGCAAUGGGGGCAACCCUGACGCAGCAACGCCGCGUGCGGGACGACGGCCUUCGGGUUGUAAACCGCUUUCAGCAGGGAAGAUAGUGACGGUACCUGCACAAGAAGCCCCGGCUAACUACGUGCCAGCAGCCGCGGUAAUACGUAGGUCCCGAGCGUUGUCCGGAUUUAUUGGGCGUAAAGCGAGCGCAGGCGGUUAGAAAAGUCUGAAGUGAAAGGCAGUGGCUCAACCAUUGUAGGCUUUGGAAACUGUUUAACUUGAGUGCAGAAGGGGAGAGUGGAAUUCCAUGUGUAGCGGUGAAAUGCGUAGAUAUAUGGAGGAACACCGGUGGCGAAAGCGGCUCUCUGGUCUGUAACUGACGCUGAGGCUCGAAAGCGUGGGGAGCGAACAGG